AUUGAACGCUGGCGGCAUGCUUUACACAUGCAAGUCGAACGGUAACAGGCCGCAAGGUGCUGACGAGUGGCGAACGGGUGAGUAAUGCAUCGGAACGUGCCCAGUCGUGGGGGAUAACGCAGCGAGAGCUGCGCUAAUACCGCAUACGAUCUAUGGAUGAAAGCGGGGGACCGUAAGGCCUCGCGCGAUUGGAGCGGCCGAUGUCAGAUUAGGUAGUUGGUGGGGUAAAGGCUCACCAAGCCAACGAUCUGUAGCUGGUCUGAGAGGACGACCAGCCACACUGGGACUGAGACACGGCCCAGACUCCUACGGGAGGCAGCAGUGGGGAAUUUUGGACAAUGGGCGCAAGCCUGAUCCAGCAAUGCCGCGUGCAGGAAGAAGGCCUUCGGGUUGUAAACUGCUUUUGUACGGAACGAAACGGCUCUCUCUAGUACAGGGGGUUAAUGACGGUACCGUAAGAAUAAGCACCGGCUAACUACGUGCCAGCAGCCGCCGUAA
rnacentral:rRNA from 1 species